UACGUAGGGGGCUAGCGUUGUCCGGACUUAUUGGGCGUAAAGAGCGUGUAGGCGGCCAGGUAGGUCUGGUGUGAAAACUCGAGGCUUAACCUCGAGAUGUCAUCGGAAACCAUCUGGCUAGAGUCCGGAAGAGGAGAGUGGAAUUCCUGGUGUAGCGGUGAAAUGCGCAGAUAUCAGGAAGAACACCAAUGGCGAAAGCAGCUCUCUGGGACGGUACUGACGCUGAGACGCGAAAGCGUGGGGAGCGAACAGG
rnacentral:rRNA from 1 species